rnacentral:tRNA from 1 species
GGCGGCGUAGCUCAGAUGGCUAGAGCAUGCGGUUCAUACCCGCAGUGUCAACGGUUCAAGUCCGUUCGCCGCUACCA